GAGGUCAGCUUUUCAAAACUGAUCUUUCGUCAUCUUUCAUCCAGAGUUAGCAUCCUCACAUCAAUUUCAGUGCAGGGAAGCUCCUGUCUCUGAGCUGUUUGUGCAUCUUUCUCUGAAGUCCCUGGUCCAGGCCACACAAGCACCUGGGCUGAUGGAAGCUGGAAUUGCCCAUGUUUCUACGUCAAACAUCUCAGAAGAACUCAGGUCCUCCAGAAAGGAAGCCCACAGCCUUCAGAAGGUGAGGAGGAUGCCUCUGGUUAAGCUCACAGGGAGGAAUAAAAAAUAAUCCCAUUUUAAUUGUUUUUUUGGUUUUUUUUUAAACUCUGCCCUUCCAAAAAGGUAUGAAACAGAGCAGGAUGUUAAAUGUACAACCUGCGUCAGCAAGGAGCUUGCUCUUAAUCAACCAUCCACCUGAGAUACCUGGGGGCAAGGAAGGAGGAACGUGUUGGGACAGAGCGAAGCCACCGCCGAGGAGAGCGGCCACACAACCUGUGAGCCUUCGGAAGCCACUUGUUAAACGUCUCCCGUUUGAUCCCCAGGGAACAGUGUGCCAGAAACGGGAUGAAAAUGUUACUUCCAAGAAAGUGUCCCCCCCCACCACCACCUCGCCACCUCACCCCAGCAGGUUUCCAGAGAGCAAAUGGACUUUUUGUAGGUCCCACCUUGCCUGGCAUCUCUACAGGACUGAAAAUAACUCAACAGAAGCACUUCUCUGUGGAUCCAUCCUUACCUUUCUCCUGCUCAAAGAAGGUGCAGAAACCAAGACUCAAGCGCCUGAAGGAUUUAUGUUGGAACUAGAUCCCUAUGGAUCAGAACACGAAUAACACCUCCAUCCCCUCCCACAUCUUCCAGGCCUGACCUUUCACAAUCUCCCAUUUCCUGACCAAUGACUCCAAAGAAAAUAGAGCUGCUAGUUGGUAUUUAAUGGAAAUCUGCGCAAAACUUGUCAAAAUACACCGCCAUGCCUGUCAGAUGCCUGGGACAAGACCUCUACAGUAGUUUCCAGAAACCCAGCGCAAUUACUUACAUUUUAAAUUAUCUUUAAUUGUCGCAUGUGAGCUACAGCAACAUUUUUCCCCACUCUCAAGCAAGACCUCGCUAUUAAGAGUCACCCCAUAAUUGCAGCUUUAAUAGGGGCCCGCAGCAGGUCGGCCGCGAAGGUUAGCGCGGGGCGAGAGCGGCUGCCGAGCGCCUGUAAGUGGAAGUGACACAUCACAAUGGUCCCAUCAAUUAUGUAGGGGCAGUUUGGAGUGUAAACUUUUUAGUGAAUCUAAUUACCUCGCCAGAUGUUUUAAUCCAAUCUCUUUGCUCCUCCUCCGCCAUCAAGCGCCACAUUGUUUGGCGAGUUCCUGACAUGAAAAAGUCACCUUAACCAUAGAAUUGAGAAUAAACUUGAAGGUUUUUUGUUUUUGUUUUUUUUU
rnacentral:lncRNA from 1 species